UGUUACAUUGUCUCCACACAAAAACCAAGGCGGGAUACUGAGGUCUCUUGACUCUGUCUGCGGACAGAGGGUUUCAAGACAUUAUUUUACACCAGAAAUCUCCCUCAUUUGAGCUGGGUGUCAGGUUUUGGGGUAUAUAUGCCACGAAUAUAGGAAGAGUAUAAAGAGCUUUUUAAAGUUUAAUUUCUUUUGAAAUAAACAUGUUUACAUUUAGCCCAGGGUAGAUUGUCCAUAGUCAGGAAGGUGUGUCUGGUUUCCCCAGUGAGAAAUGAAAUUCUUUUGCUCAAUCCUAGAGCCAUCUUUCUCCUCUCUUUUAACAAAGCACCCUCGCUGUUGGUCCCUGCAAGCUUCAAAGAAUAAAAGGCAAUGCAGAGAAGGCUGGAGAUCAGGAGAGCAAUGGUGUAUUUCCAGUUUGAGUCCGAAGGCCUGGGAGUCAGCAGAGCUGCUGGUAUAUUUAUGCCCAAAGGCCAAUAAACUCAAGACCCAGGAAAAGCCGAUGUUUCCAUUUGAGUCCAAAGGUAGAGGAAGACCGAUGUCCCAGCUGGAAAGCAGUCAAGCAGAGAGAGUGAAUUCUCCCUUACUCCCUUUGUGUUCUGUUCCAGUUGAUUGGAUGAGGCCCAUCCACAUUAGGGAGGGCAUCUGCUUCACUCAAUCUACUGAUUCAAGUGUUAGUCUCACCCAGAAACGACCUCACAGACAUAUCCAGAAUAACACUUGACCAAAUAUCUGGGCACCCAAAUGUCUGGGCACCCCACGACCCAGUCAAGUUGGCAGAGAAAAUCAACCAUGACAGCAGGGAUACCAAUGCAUUCAUUUUCUUUUCUUUCUUUCUUUCUUUCUUUCUUUCUUUCUUUCUUUCUUUCUUUCUUUCUUUCUUUCUUUCCUUUCUUUCUUUCUUCUUUCUUUCUUUCUUUCUUUCUUUCUUUCUUUUUCUUUCUUUCUUUUUCUUUCUUUCUUUCUUUCUCUUUUUUUCUUUCUUUCUUUCUUUUCUUUCUUUCUUUCCUUCUUUCUUACUUUCCUUUCCUUCUUUCUUUCUUCCUCUCUUUCUCUGUCUCUCUUUCCUCUCUCUCUCUCUCUCUCUUUCUUUCCUUCUUUCAUCUCACUCACUCUGUCUCUGAGGCUGGAGUGCCGUGGCACAAUCACGGCUCACUGCAGCCUCCACCUCCCAGGUUUCAGUGAUUCUUGUGCCUCAGCCUCCCAAGUAGGUGGGAUUAUAGGCACCCUCCACCAUGUACAGUUAAUUUUUUGUAUGUUUUGUAGAGACGGGGUUUCACCAUGUUGACCAGGCUGGUCUCAAAUUCCUGACCUCAAAUGAUCUGACUGCCUCAGCCUCCCAAAGUGCCAGGAUUACAGGUGUGGGCCAUCGAGCCUGGCCUCCACCAAUGCAUUUCUGCCACAUAGUCAUUUUCAUUAGUUGAGUGGGCAAUUUUCUUAAGCCACUUUACCUUCUGUAUUAGUUUUCUAGGGCUGCCAUAAAGUACCACAAACUGGGUGGCUUAUACAACAUAAAUUAAUUUCCUUACAGUUCUGGAAGCUAAAAGUCCAAGAUCAAGGUGUUGGCAGAGUUGAUUCCUUCCAAGGACUGAGGGAGAAUUUGUUCCACGCCUCUGUCCUGGUUUCUUGUGGUUUGCUGGCAAUCUUUGGCAUUCCUUGGCUUAUAGAUACAUCAUCCCAAUAUUUGCCUAUAUUUUCAUGUGGUUUCUCCUUGUUUAUGUGUCCACGUCCAAAUCUACCCCCCCCCCCUUUUUUUUUUUUUUGGAAACGAAGUCUUGCUCUGUUGCCUCGGCUGAAGUACAGUGGUGAGAUCUUGGCUUACUGCAACAUUUGCCUCCCAAAUUCAAGUGAUUGUCCUGCCUCAGGCUCCCAAGUAGCUGGGAUUACAGGCACCCACCACCACGCCCAGCUAAUUUUUGUAUUUUUAGUAGAGACAGGGUUUCACUAUGCUGGCCAAGCUGGUCUCAAACUCCUGACCUCAAGUGAUCUGCCUACCUCGGCCUCCCAAAGUGCUGGGAUUACAGGCAUGAACCACCGCACCCGGCCCAAAUUUACCCUUUUUAUAAAAACAUCCGUCUUAUUGUAUUAGGCCCAGCUAAUGACCUCAUCUUUACAUUGAUUACCUCUAUAAAAACCCUGUUUCAGUUCACAUUCUGAGGUACUGACAGUUAGGACUCCCACAUAUUUUUUGGUGGGGAGACACAACUCAACUCAUAAUACCUUCUGAAACUGAACAGCAGUUUCCUUGUUUCAAAGCAAUGCUACAAGAAAAACUUGGAACUGUAACAUCCCCCUGCAAACUGGGAAGGAGCUAAGAGACCAAAGAAUGAUUCAGACAAGUCCAGCUUGAUGAGUAGAUGAGUCUAUCAGGACUUAUGUACAUGGCACUCCUGGAUAGCGGCAGGACAGCGCUGGAGAUCUGCGCCACCUCCCGACUCCAAACUGCUUUUAAAUUAAUUUCCUGGCUCUUUGCCUACUGUGUUUGAGUGAUGAGACUGUUUUUCUUGAUCGGUUCUCAGAUACUCACUGGGAUGUUUGGGUUCUUAGAGACACCUGCUCCUCGGUUGGGCACCCUGGACUUGGCUCACUGCCCAGCCUUCAGAAUUCAGGCAGUGGACAUACAUCCUUAAGUAACUUGGUGGGGGACCCAUCACACUACAGAUGUAACGAUAAUAAUUUGGCUCAAAUCACUUUCUAGUUAACAAUCUGGUAAAAGCAAUAAGUAGGAUAACCAUAUAACUUAUUAAGUCAAAACAGUUACGAGGCUAAAUUUUAGUAAUACUCACUGAGACAGGGAGCAAAAACAUGUCCCAAGCAAACUGGGAUGCAUGUUCCACCCUAGCUAUAUAAGAUAACAUGCCAGGUGUAGAGACACUGAAAGCUCCUUACUCCGUCUGCCCAGGUCUUCUGUCUCAGCAACUGAAUAGGACUGGCUGCCAUCAAUCAUGUCCCAGAAUGAGGGUUUUAAAAGAAUCUCACAGCGUUAAUGUCAGUGUUGUGCAGCUUCCUGCAGUGGCACAUCCAAUAUCAGACCUCCCAAUCAUCUUAGUAUCUCUUCCGGUCCCAGUGUUUUGCUCUUAUAGCUCUAUCCCUCUUCUGAACAUAAUCAUGAUUAUAAUGAGAUAAUUGAUUGUGUUCCUAGCAGUUUGGUAUCUGGCUUUUUCACUAGAUUGUUAGCUUCCUGAGGGCAGGGGCCAUGUCUCUUGUUCUUCCCUGUAUCCUCAAGCAGCUCAUGCUAGAUUUUGCCAAUAUUAUGUGCCAUCAAUAUCUGUUGAAUGAAUGUAAACAGCACUUCUAGAAGUACUUAAUAGAUGGUGGUUAAAUAAAUGAAUGAGAUACAUACACAUAUACUGAAAUAAAACUUACUAAUUCAAGUUUUCCCAUUAUUUUUAAGAACCUUUGGAAUUCUCUACUGCAUACUCAUGGGAGAAUAAAAAUGAAAAGGACCAAAA